GCAGGAUUUGUGUUCCCUUUCUGCCUUGUGAGAAGUACCAGGAGUUCUUUUUUGCUGCUCAGUGUCACUGGUUCUCAGGAGAACAAGGUGAAGUCUUCGUGGACAAUAACGCCUUGAUAAGCACGGACCUGCAGCGCCGUGUGUGCUGAU